rnacentral:rRNA from 1 species
GUGAGAACCUACCCUUAGGAUGGGGACAACAGUUGGAAACGACUGCUAAUACCCGAUGUGCCGAGAGGUGAAAGAUUUAUCGCCUAGGGAAGGGCUCGCGGCUGAUUAGCUAGUUGGUAAGGUAAAGGCUUACCAAGGCGACGAUCAGUAGCUGGUCUGAGAGGAUGAGCAGCCACACUGGGACUGAGACACGGCCCAGACUCCUACGGGAGGCAGCAGUGGGGAAUUUUCCGCAAUGGGCGAAAGCCUGACGGAGCAAUACCGCGUGUGGGAGGAAGGCUCUUGGGUUGUAAACCACUUUUCUCAGGGAAGAAUAGAUGACGGUACCUGAGGAAUAAGCAUCGGCUAACUCCGUGCCAGCAGCCGCGGUAAUACGGAGGAUGCAAGCGUUAUCCGGAAUCAUUGGGCGUAAAGCGUCCGCAGGUGGCCUAUCAAGUCUGCUGUCAAAGCGCAGAGCUCAACUCUGUAAAGGCAGUGGAAACUGGUAAGCUAGAGUACGGUAGGGGUAGCGGGAAUUCCCAGUGUAGCGGUGAAAUGCGUAGAUAUUGGGAAGAACAUCGGUGGCGAAGGCGCGCUACUGGGCCGAAACUGACACUGAGGGACGAAAGCUAGGGGAGCGAAAGGGAUUAGAUACCCCUGUAGUCCUAGCCGUAAACGAUGGAAACCAGGCGUGGCUUGUAUCGACCCGAGCCGUGCCGAAGCUAACGCGUUAAGUUUCCCGCCUGGGGAGUACGCACGCAAGUGUGAAACUCAAAGGAAUUGACGGGGGCCCGCACAAGCGGUGGAGUAUGUGGUUUAAUUCGAUGCAACGCGAAGAACCUUACCAAGGCUUGACAUGUCGCGAAUCCUGCUGAAAGGUGGGAGUGCCUUAGGGAGCGCGAACACAGGUGGUGCAUGGCUGUCGUCAGCUCGUGUCGUGAGAUGUUGGGUUAAGUCCCGCAACGAGCGCAACCCUCGUUUUUAGUUGCCAGCAUUAAGUUGGGCACUCUAGAGAGACUGCCGGUGACAAACCGGAGGAAGGUGGGGAUGACGUCAAGUCAGCAUGCCCCUUACGUCUUGGGCAACACACGUACUACAAUGGUCGGGACGAAGAGCAGCGACCUCGCGAGAGUAAGCGAAUCUCAUCAAACCCGGCCUCAGUUCAGAUUGCAGGCUGCAACUCGCCUGCAUGAAGGAGGAAUCGCUAGUAAUCGCAGGUCAGCAUACUGCGGUGAAUUCGUUCCCGGGCCUUGUACACACCGCCCGUCACACCAUGGAAGCUGGCCACACCCGAAGUCGUUACCCUAACCUUUCGAGGAGGGGGACGCCGAAGGUAGGGCUAGUGACUGGGGUGAAGUCGUAACAAGGUA